rnacentral:tRNA from 1 species
GCAGUGGUGGUUCAGUGGUGAAAUUCUCACGUUUCAUGCCGGAGACCUGAGUUCAAUUCCCAGCCAGUGCA